GUGUGCUAAUACAGUUUUUAACUUGUAUCCUGUAACUCAUGCUCAAACUUGAUACACCUAGUUCACAAUCCACAUGGUUAUUUUUUCUUACCAUCAGAAUGUAUCCUCUCUCUCUCUGUGUGUGUGUGUGUGUGUGUGUGUGUGCAUGUAUGUAUAUAAAAUCAUCACCCAACAUGCCUGUGCAUAUGAAAGGAACACUAUUGGAUUUUUAUGGUGAUGAUAGUUUACAAGAAAUGAAAUUAGAUUCUGUAAAGAAUCUUAAUUUAUGUUAGCUGGUAUAAUGGUGAUUCUGGGUUCUGACCCCUAUUGGAUCAACUUUUAUUGCUUCCUGUUUCUGCUAAGUAGUACUGCUUUACAUUUUCUCGUCAUUCUUGGAUGUGGAAGUUAAGAAAAUGUUCUUAAUGUUUUAGCAAAUAUUUUUAUAUUUAUUGAUUAAAAAAGGUACAUACAAGCCCCUGGAUCAUGAUUUCUUGCCUUCUACUGAGUUGGACUGACACUUAUCAAAAUUGGACUUGUGUCCAUCAUGUCCAUUUAAGACUGAUAUCUUGUGCUGCCAAUGAUAUGAGCUGUUCAUAAGCAGCUGGGGAUCAGCUUGAUGGUGUCUUAUUUAGGCUUGGCUCAUUUAGGAGAUGGCUGAGCUCAAACAUAUUUCAGAGCUCGGCUCAUUUACAUUAGUGGCUUGCAAAAGUAAAAGGUUGCUUAGCUCAUCGAUAAAAGCUUUGCUCGGAACAUAUGAACUGAGGUUGAAUUACUUAUGUUAAGCUCAGCUCAAGCUGAGCUCAAGCACAACUUUUGUAUACCAAACUGAGCCUGGGAAGCCUGAUACUUGGAUCAUCUGAUCUUGUAUUCAUCUGUAUCAAUACUUACACCUCCUUGCAGUGUUACCUCCUACAGAUGAUUGCUCUAUUUUGAGUUGUAUGUGAUUUGGUAAUGCAAAUAUACUUACACGUGUUAAGUUUCUUGUAUCAUACUUAUACUCAUCUGCUUUCAUGUAAAGGCCCAAAGAUUAAUUUUAAUCAAAUUAUGAAACCUUGGCUUAGGUUUACGACUCUUCUCUUGGAUAUCAUCAGUCAUUGAAAUAUUAGCUCAUCUUACAGCUCAUAUAGCUAUUUGACUAUUGUCAAUUCUCUCUUUCCUGAAUCCCUCCUCUACAUCCAAUACUCGAAUUUCUAUUCUCAUGUUUGAUAGUGUUAUCUUAAUUUUCAACAGGACAUCCAUUUUUUUUUCAAUUAAUUCUUGUUGUUCAUUUUAUCCACUGUCUUCUUGAGCAGAUAUUUAGAGAGUAUUUGGAACCAUACCAUACCUUGUCGUGGCCAACAUCUAUAUUUUGAUUCAACUGAAUCUGGUUGCUUUCAUUUUGCAGAUUAUAUUGGAAAACAGGUCCAUGGUGGUUCUUACAGCAGGAAAUUCCAAAAUCUGAGGUAGGUGAUGACAUGCCUAAAUCGCUUAAUACUUUAAUUUUAUCGUUACUACAUAAAGCAUAUUUUGUAAUCAUGUUUUAUUUAGUGAGCUAUCAUAUUUAUGCCUAUGCUCAAAAAACCUAAUGAUCAGAUAAAGUUUCUCUGUUCAGUUCGGUUGGAAAAUGAACCUAUUGACAUCCUGGAAUCCAAGGAUGUUGAAGAAAUCUCUCUCAAGAUGUUUGUGCUUGAAUAGACCAGUUUCAAAGAUGACCAAAACUUGCAAAACUUUCCCCAUUAAUCUGGUGUUUCCAUUAUUUCCAUUACUGGGCCUGUGGUAGACAGUCACACGGUACCCCUAAUUUUAGCUCUCUCUCUUCUCUUUUCUUUUCUUUUCUUUUUUUUGAGCAAUCGCUAGGUUUUGAACCCCAGACCUCCUGAAGGCCCCUAAGGUUGAGUGCUGACAGUUGUUAGCUCCUCCUUUCCUUCCUAAGAACUUCCAAGUAGAAAAUUUUUCAGAGCUUUUCGAUCCUCUCCUUGUCAUUUAAUAUCUUGCUGUUUUGUAGCCUCUUGAGUUCUUUGCUUAUGAAUGUGCAUAGCUUUUCACUCUUCGAUACAUCCACCUCAACUUCAUAAUGGUUAUGAACGUCUGAUGCAUGCACCCCCUCGUUUUUGCCAAAUUUGAGUUCGUGAAACACAUUUUGAUGGUCAGCACGUAUCAAAACACAUUUCCAUUACAUCUACCUUACUUGAGUUGGAUAGAUAACAUACAUACUUUUUUUGUCCCCUGUAAAACCUUACCAAUAUUUCAUUUCUGGAAUUUUCUUGGUGAUGGAUUGUAAUCAAAACUUCAUAUUUGAAACUAUCUCGGGAGCCCACUUGAAACAUCCUACAUGCAAGAACCAUAUGAAGGAAAUUAGCUUAAGUAUUAUUUAGUUGUUUUUUCUUUCUUACAAUACCAUUAUAUGCGACUGUUAACUUACGUCUUUACAAAAUUAUCGAGAUUAAAUGAAGAAAAUCUGUCUUUUUUAAAUUCUUGUAUAAUGUUUGGACAAGAUGUUCGAUGUGCUUAACAAAAUAAAAUUAAUACAUGAUUUUCAGAUUAAGGGGUAACCUUGUAGUUUCACAUCAAUCUGUAUGAUUUGAUUAUCAUUAUAACGAUUUCUUUCUGAUGAUUUUGUGGUAAUAUUGCUGGCAUGUCCUUGGGAUACCAUCUGGUCAUGCAGCCCCAGUAUGAUUCAGUUACCAUGGUACCAGUAGAAGAUGACGAGGUGGAGUAUGCAAAUGUACUCGCUGUAGAUUGAAGCGCAUCUAUAAACCAUGACCAAGAACUGACACUUUCGUGCUGGAAACGAAGUUCAGUCUCAGUUUUCACUAGAGGAUAACAAUGACAACUUUAAUUUGCAAUUUGUUUUUGUUCUUUUGGUAUUUGAUUUUUUUGAGAUAUGCAAAGAUCAGAGCAUUAUGUGUAAAGUGGGAAUUUUUUUAGUUGGAAACCAAUAUUCAUUCCUUCUGAUGAGACGCAUUGUGAUAAUUCCUCCUUAUUCUAAUCACAAGGAAGAGCAUAUUGCUACUUGAAUUUGCGCUUGGAUCUGCCCUCCAUGCCCAAAACCUAAUCAUGCUCUGGCUUCCCUAAAAAGAAAGGGAAGAGCAGGAAAGAAGCAUCAGCUAGCCUAUUCCUGAUGCUGAAUUUUUAUGGUUUGAAUGUUCAGAUUGGGAUCUGCUCAAUUCUUUUAUCCGGGACAGGAAAAAGGGAUUGUCAUGGCUUGGAAAUGAGGAAAUAAAGUAAAAGUGUUAUUCUUUUUCUCCUGUUCAAAAGCUUAAAAAUUAACAAUUUAACACCUCCAAUUCCAAGUUAUCUGUCGUGCCAUUCAAACCAUCAUAAAAUGGUUAAGAAGAAUCUCGCAAACGGCGUGGCUUCCACGCAAGCAUUGAUUGAAGGAUAUGAAAGUGUUGCCGGGAUUUUUUCCUGCACAACAACAUAGUCCCAACCGAGCCGAGCAGAGAAAGCGAAUGCUUCUUUCACGAAGUAUUGUCCGCUUUGGGGUUCAACGCGCCCUUAACGGUUUUGCCCUUCAAAAGGCACUUCGUGAGGAAAGAAUUUUUGCCCUCCAUUUAAGGCACAGACCUUUCCGCUACUUGGUCAAUAUGGAACUAAAUUCAGGCCAUCCCACAACACAGCCACCUAGUGGAAAGAUCCUGGGCAGGUUUUUCCCGACGCAGCCCUCCAGUCCUCGGGGGGUACCCCUACCUGGCGCGCCAUCUGUUGUCGGAAUUUUUUCCUGCACAACAGCAUAGUCCCAACCGAGCCGCGCAGAGAAAGCGAAUGCGUCCCUCACGAGGUAUUGUCCGCUCUGAGAUUCAUGCAGGAAAAAAUCCUGGCAACAGAUGGCGUGCCAGGAAGGGGUACCCUCCCCCCAUGAGGACUGGGGGGCUGCGUCGGGAAAAACCUGGCCCAGGACCUUCUCGCUAGAGGGGCUGUGUUGUGGGAGGGUCCGAAUUUAGUCCUAUAUCGACUAAGUAGCGGAAAGAUCUGUGCCUUAAAUGGAGGGCAAAAGUCCUUUCCUCACAAGGCGCCUUUUAAAGGGCAAAAUCGUGAGGAGCGCGUUGAACCCCAGAGCGGACAAUACCUCAUGAAGGAUGCAGUCGCUUUCUCUGCUCAGCUCGGUUGGAACUAUGCUGUUGUGCAGAGAAAAAUUCCAGCAACAGAUUCCAUCUUUUAAAACCUACAUUAGAUGGACGAAUUUUUUGAGUCUUGCUUGAUAAUAUUACCAAGAAAUUUGUUACCUCAAAGGUUGCCGUGAGAGGAGUUUGGAUUUUCUCAUAAUAAAAUCAUGCAUUAUUAUGCUCACUUUUUGUUAUACGCAUGAACUAAUGAAAGAUAUGUAACAAAAAACAUACAUAAAUUCUGGUGGUAGAAGUCAAUCAAUUACAUAUUUAUAAAGGGUCAAAACAAAAUAGUUUGCAAGAACAAAAUAGCUUGCAAUAUCACAAGCCUCCCGUCUGACAGGUCGCAAGGAUUGCAAGCACAAUGUGAAAGAUUGCUCACGAAAAAAACAAUCGGUCAGUCGCUUAGCUGUUCACCCAGCCAAGCAUUGCAAGCACCAUCUAUCUUGCAUGCAUCUAGUACCUCUACAGCUUCAGCCCCACCUAAUUCAUCUUGCAUGAACCAUCACCACAGGAUCCUCUCUGCCACAUUAUAUUCUAACAUGUUGAAAAACUGGCUAUUCAAGAUUCGACUCAACCUCCUACGAUAUUAUCAAAAUAAUUAAGCAUUGGCUGAACAUACAUCAUGCGUUAGAAAAGGUCGUCUUCUGGUCCAUACCUUUGAUGUAAUGCCAUCAGAGCUGUUCCAGUCCAUGCAUUUCUUGCAGAAGGCAUUAAUCUAGAAGCAACUGAUGAAAAUGAUAAACUGAUGACCUGCCCCUAUUCAAAUUCAAAUUGCAAGGUUCGGGCAUGCCGGUCUACAUUUACUCUUUGAUAUCCUUGAACAAAACAUGAACAUCAAUAAGACUGAAGAUAGCAAGAAUAGCCUGAAAUAAGUUCUUAAUUCUUGCAUCCCAAGUUCGAGGCCCUCAAUUUUCUUGCUUUCCCUGCUAUCACCUAUCAAGCUUCCAUCUACUACGUUACCACCUAUAGGGACCAACUUGACUGAAGAGACUGCCAGAUGGAUACUGUGUAGCCGGCUGGGCACCAUCUCAAAAAGCAUGAGGAAUGUUGCAACCCAUUUGUUGAGAACUCUCUGGAAGCCAAAAUAGCAUUGCAUAAAUAUUCUAAUAUCCUAUCUAAAAAUAAAAAAGUAAUAAUCUUUUCCAAAUUACAUACAUUGAAUGUAACUUUAUCUACUGGAUUGAACAUUUUGAAGCAGUCUUUGGAAGAGGCUGACAGGUCUCCAUAAAUCUGCUCAUUGAAAAGGUCAACAAAAUCCUUCACUUUGAAUGAUUUACGUGAAUUUGGUGAUUGCUGAAAAUAAUUGCUAACUUGCCUCAAAAGUGAAAGCCAUUGGAACCUUGGCAAUGUCAUACAUGUAGUCAGUUGUUGUUCCAUGCGCAAGAUACCUGAAAAUUAGUUAGUUCAAUAGUCGUAUUUUUUGGAAUUCUUUGAUUUCUAUUGGUAAUAUUGCUCAGUUAUGGUACAAACCCAACAGAGCCCCCACCAGAACCAACCAAGCAUUUGUCUUGAAAGUAACGAUGAUUCAAGUCUUGUAACAUUGACCUCAUUAAGCGCGAUGUGAGUCCAUUCGGUGUAGAAUUCUUGUGAUCAUAUGGCAUAAACAAAGCCUGGAACCAAACAAUUAAGAAUGAAGCAGAGAAGAAAUGAAAACAAAGAUGCCCACACUAUCUAUUUCAGCACAUUUACACACUAUUUAACCUAAUUCAUGAACUUAAACUGUUACACCACAAGCAGUGGGAAUCAACACCAGGCAGAACACUCGGACUAGAGGAAAAGGAAGGUGGAUUUGAUUGUUUAACCUAUCAAUUUUUUCACAGCUGAAAGGAUAAACACUCACAGAUAUACACAUAGACUGCAGGAUCAAGUUUAUGUAUUUGGUAAAAAGAUCUUUUUUUAUGGCAAACCAAACAUUGGUAAAAAGAUCAAAGAUUUCAAAGGAAAAAUGAUGGGUUGUUCAAAUAGAAGAUUUAUGCUAUUGGCAUUGAUCUAGACCUGCAAAAAUGCCUAGAACCCCAAAACCACAUGUUUUGAAGGUCUCUAGCCUACUUAUCAAAUGGAUGAAAAACAGACAGCUUUAAGGGCAUGAUAUGUUGUUUUUCUAUCGAAACAUGUGUUCAUAUAUCCUAUCAUGUAUUUUGGCACAUUAGUAUAGUUGCAAGAGUCCACUUUUUGCACCAAUUUGAUGUAUAGGUAGCAGACUGUCAAAACAUGAGAUGAUUGAUUUUUUGGCAUGUCUAGUGGUGCAUCAUGAUUAACAGAUAUUGAUAAAAUAUUCAGGCUUGUUUGGGAAGUUCCCACUGGAUUUGACAGGAUUAGCGGGGAAGAGUGUUUUUGGGAGAAAAAAAAAAAAGAGGGGGGAGGGCUGCGAGGGUGAGUGGGAGAGGGCAAAAGUCUUUUUUCAAUCCUGCCAGGAUUGGGCUUGUGACCCCUCGUAUGGGAGCCCUUCUCCCGCUCCCUUCUUUUCUCCCUCCUAGCGCACUCUCUCCACCUAUUCUACCAGGAUUUUGCCAACAAGGCCCUUAUCAAUUUGGAGUUAUUAAAUCUUUUGAUAAAGAUUUAACAUUUGGUGUGAAGCACUGUAUGUGCAUAUAAAUGGGUUUUGAUUUUUCAGGUACUGAUUAGCUUAACCCGAACCCAACACAAUAACACUUCAGGUGUUCAAAUUUGGGAUCCAACACGACCCUAUCCGGCUACCAAGCUUGUUUUUCCCGUGGCCCAAAUCCAAGAUGUUGGGGUCAGCUUUCAUUCAUGUUAGGUGGGAUAUCAGAGCCAUAUUGCCAGCACAUCCCUCUUCCUAUCAUGCUUUUCUAUUUACAUUGAUUGAUUAGCACUAAACUAUUUCCUUUAUUUUUGUCAUUGCUUCCCUAAACCCUGCUCUAUCACUUUUCUUUGCUUCUCUAGUAUCACAUGACUCGUCAAAGCUAUAUCAAUGCCACACCGAUCUAGCUACUUCUUAUACAGUCUAAAACUUAUAUGAGGACAAUUAUUAUUGCAUAUUCGUGCUAUGAUAAGCUUUUGAUUAUUGAGGGAUAUCACCAUAUUAUCAAAUGCUCGCUGUUAUGUAAUUACAUGGGAAUUUAUGAAAUGGAAGCCCUUUAUUUUGUCUGCUCCAUUUAUCCACCUCUAUAAGCGAGCAUCUUUUCCAUCAGCACAAGGUUGCCUAUUAUGCAGAAACUCCAAACUUGACAGAUUGAAUUAAAUGAAAGGAGGAACCUGCAAUAUUAGGGUAUUUGACAACAACUGAUAGAGCAGGGGAAUAAGAUAAAAUCUUCCAUCCCUUCAUGCAGAUAGGCAAAAAGAGAUAUAAAGAUUAGCAGAUCAAUCAUUUGUUAGAGCAAUGACUUAGUACAUAAGUUAUCUGGAAUAAGUAGGGGUCGCUUCAGAAAUAAUACAUAUAGGGGAGGUAUUAGGGAUGUAUUAAAUAAGAACAGGUGUAUAUGAACACUGAUAAGAGAAGAAGACACAUUAAUUUUGUUAAUUAUCCAAUGAAAUCGUGAAAUAUAGGAAAAUGCCAGAUGAGUGCAGAAGUUUCGUGUUCCUAUUAAAAUAUAUCAUGAUUAUCUAGCCUUUCCCAACUAUUUGGAGUCAUGCCAAGUAUUUCCAUCUAGGACUACCUCUAAUGUUAUUUCAAGUUUCUCCAUAUCUUCCUCACAACCUCCAUCCAUAUUAAUUUAAGUCUUACCCUUCUUUUCUCACAACCUUCAAGACAAACUAAAGUACCUCUCCUUAAAUGAGCCCCUUCAAAUUUUCGUUGUACAUGUUCAGACCAUCUCAAUCAAUUUUUCAUCACUUUGUCCUUAAUUUUUGCAAACCAUAUAGAUUUUCCAAGUUUCUUAAUCUAUCCUUCUUAGUUUUACCACAUAUUGAUCUUAAUAUUCUCAGCUUUGGCAGACUAAAUUUGUUUUCAUAUGCUUUCGUCAUGGCCUAGCACUCUAAUCCAUACAACAUUGCAAGUCCUACCGUUGUUCUAUAAACUUUUUCUCAGAUCUCUGAGACAUGUGUUUAUUAUAUGAUAUUCUAGAUACACCUCUCCACUUCAUCCAACCAGCUCUAGUUCUGCUACAUAUAUCUUCAUUUCUCUCUUCUUUAUUUUGUAUAAUAGAUCCUAAACAACAAAAUUGGUCACUUUGUGGUAUCUCUUGUCCAUCAAUCUUCAUUGAUAUUUAGUCUUCAUUAUGUUAAAAAGAGCUAGUUUCAGAAACCAACUCAGCUUCAUACCAGGCCACUUAACAAUGGAAACAACUUCCUUGUUUAGGCAAAUGACUGAAAAUACUAACAGAGAAGCACUAGUAGAUAAAAAGAAGUAUGGUAUUCCUUACUUUAUAAUCAAAAACCAAGUCUAACAAAAUAUUGACAUAGUCCAUGCCAUUAGUUUAGAAAUUCAAAUCUUCGCACAUAGCGAUGCUAAGUGAGACAACUUAGACAUACAUUAUGUUCGCAAUCAAAAAAUUCAUUGUAAUUGAAUUUUAAGAUAGCCUAUUCAAAUGGAGCCUUACAAAAAAUAAAAGAUGAAAUGAGUUAAGAAUCUACCUCCAUUCCAGAGUGUACAUUCACCCAAAUAUGUGGUUCAAAUGAUUUGGCGAGCUUCCGCAUUAUUUGAGCCUCAGGCUCACUAAAAGGGGCAAUUCCAGGAUUUUCUUCAUAUGGAUCAUAGUCCUGGAAAAACAAACAAAUGUUAGAAGUAAGACAUCAAAUUUUGACAUAGAUAGUUAAAAAUGAGACUAUAUUUCAAAAUUACACUAGGAUUUGCCAAAUUAUCAUAAAUUUGCAUUUCACUAAUAUAUGCAGCUGAAAUAAGUUUUGCAAGUAAAACAAGACAAGCAUGCUUAUGUUAUAUUACUCAUCCAUUGACCUGUACAUCUUCUAUCUCGGCUAAUCCUUCAUAGACCAACUCACCAACCUACUGCAUUGUGUGUGCCAAGGCUGCACAGUUUCUCAACACUGUAUUUCAAUUAUAUUGGAGUCUGUACAUCUUUCACCAUUAUUAGAGUCACGGUCAUAAAUUAGUUCAAUUGGUGUCAUGUAUAUAAUUUCCUAAGGUCUGUCCAGUAUGCAUUAGUUAAAUAAAAUGGAGAAUAAUUGAUUUAAGAAGAUUGGUAAAUGCUAAACAAAGAUGAAAAUAACUCCGAAUCAAGUACUGGAAGAACAAUAUACCAGAGAACUGACCUUCUCCUUUUUCCCCCAGUCCACACUCCAAUUUCUGUUGAGAUCAACUCCUCUUCCUGGUGACAGUCAAAACUUUAGCAAAACUGAAAAUAGGCAAACUAUAAGCUAAAAAUACAAGUGAUUAUAUUUUAAAUGACCAUUUCUUCUCUCACAAAGCUCCCCUCCCUCAACAAGUUUGCGACCAUUCAGAUUUUCCAUUGGAACCACCUAUCAAAUUCAAAGCAAAGUCAUUGCAAGUUUCUUGGAAAGCCUUUCAUCUCUAUCUUCCAAAAGAAAGAAGCAAUCAUGUGGAAUAAUAGGAGGAAAUUGUUGCUGACUUCCAAGUUCCAAAGAGAAUAAAAGGAAAACAGACUUUUUGACAUAAGCUUGGCUAUACUAGAACUCAAGUUUCAUAAUUUAUGCAAAUAUGAAGCAUCAGUUAAUAAAAUAGCACAUUACACUCAAAAAUGGCUGUUCAGUUGCUUUUUCUCUUUUUGACUGCUAUAGUGCAAAACUACCGAAAUCGUACUACCUAAAAUACUCAAAAUCCAAAGAAUAUAAUUGUAAAAUCAUGUUUCAUUUGUUAUCUUGUACUACUAUUUCUGGAUUUUCCCCUGAUUUUGGUUAAUGGUUUUCUCAUAUUAAUUUUCAACUAGUACUGCUCAAGUUAUAUCACAAACCAUGAAGACCCUACCUUGCGAAAACCCACAGCGAUUGGUUGGGUCAAAAUGGAAAUUGAGUUUUCAAACACUAAUAAAAUGCACCAAACCACGAUCUACUUGAUGCUUAGUACUGAUAUCUUAUGCAUAAUGCAAUAAUGUUGAGUUAUUAAGAAGUUCCAAAUCUAAUCAUAUAACUAAUCGAUACAACUUUAAGUUACAUCAACUUUUCUGUUCCAGAAUGUUAUUGGACUUUUUUCUUUUUUUAUAUAAUUUGCCAGGUUGUUGGUUUUCAUUGUCAGGAGGUCAUGUUUGAAACUAUUUUAAGAUAUGAAUUGAUUUCUAUGAAGAUUAGUGAUGCUUUGAAGUUGAAGCCGCUUUUCAUGAUCUUUCUUUGUGAGGCUUUUAAUAACAUAGGCAUGAUACAUAAGUGGUGAUGAAUGAGAAGUUUAUCCUAGAAAUGUUACAUUAGUCACUCCAGAUUCAGUUAUGAUGGGUUCAGUGCAACCCUCUCGGAUGCCCUCCCCAGACUGAAGAGAAAAACUCCUUUGGUCUCUCUUUACCUUUUUCUUUUUCUCCCUUUUAGUUUGUUCCUUUUUUAGGGGGUUGGGGGGGUUCAAAGGUAUUUGACAACUCCCAUUUUAGACCAAUGGAUAGACGAACUGCCUUGAGACAAAAGUGUAUAUGCUUGCUCAUGCCAUAAAUGAAUUCCAAAUGAUAGAUGACUGUAGAGAUUUAAUCAACAUGUGAUUGCCUAUGCUAGAAGUGGAGGUUUGAAAUUAGAAUGCAGGGUGAAUAGCACUAAUGCCUUGUGAUAAAGAACAUAAACUAUUGUUCAUCAAAAAAGGGAGAAAAGAGGAACACAAACUAAAGUAGCUGCUAUGAUCUUACCUUAAUGACAAUAUUUUCCAAUAUUUUGUUAAAGGAUGUCGGUUGCAUGCUGAGCAUCUUUUGCUCUUUAGCUAGAACUGAAAGUAGAUGCAAUGCGACUUCAGAGGUAAUAAGCUCCCUCCCAUGCUGUCCAAAGCUCUGGAAGACAAGGGAAUGUUCUGUCAAAAGUGCAAGCCAUUAAAAUCUGGAGGAAAUCAUCAAGCAAUUGUACUAAGGUACUAACAACUAUUCACUGCAUUAUCCAGAAAAAAGCAACUCACUAUCUCUACUUUGAUGCAUGUAAAAUGAUUAGCAUCAGAAGGAAUCCCUUCUUUACUUCUGAAGAAAACAUGGAAAUUCUUUUCUGAUAUUAAGACAUCGAAUAGCAUCAUUUGCUUAGCAUCACGCAAUUCUAGCAUCAUUUGAGACCACCCACGUUCUCUCUAAUGAAGCAUGAGAAGACUCACCAGAAGAAUCCGGAACUUCGAUUUGUUAUUUGUCUGCUUCUUUACAUGAUUGUAUGUGAUCACUACAAUCUCUGCUGCAUAUCCCUUAUUGUCUGCCCUCAUUUUUUCCAUCUAUGGGAUAUAGGCCAAAAUGGGAUGUAAAUUACAAAUAAAUAAAUCGAGGGAACAUUGAUAAAAGAAAACAUAAGCUAAGCCACUCACAGUUAACACAUCUGGAUGCCGACUCGCCAAGGCCUCGAUCUCAUUCAACAAAGCACCACUGGAAAGUUAGAAAAGAACAGUAAGGAAAAGAAUCAUAGCAACUCCACCUAUUUUCCCAAAAAAAAGAAAGAAAAUCCGUAACCAAAAAAAAAAGAGAAACCAAGAAUCAGGAUUCCCAAAAAGUCAGAAGUUCUCAAGCUACAAUAAAAUUCCUCUUGGUGAAGCCUAAUAUUAAAAAACAAAAUUAGAACCAAGGGUCCAUUGGAUGAAUCAGAAGAACAAACUUAAUUAUUACAAUUAGGGAAGAAAAUGAUUUCUUUGUAUAUUUAUUUUGAUGCCCAUUUCAAAUCUCGCUAAUUUCUAUUACACUUCCGUCUAGUUCAGCAAAUGCAGGAAAGCAACUCGAGAGUCGGAUAAAGAAAGCAAUCUGAUUUGGUCGCAAAAGCGAAGAUAAAGAAUUUCUUCGAAUUUCUUCACAGCAUGGCCUUCAAAACCAAUGUCAACCCCUAUUUUUGCUUCACCACUCCAAUUAAAACUUCAAGAAACAUUAAACGAAUCGAAACCAAAUUAACGACUCUCCUAUCAAAAAUUCAAACAUAAAACCCAGUAAAGAUCUCGUAAAACUCAGGGAGAAAACACGGAGAUAGAUCUGGCGAAAGAUACCUCGAAUGGUAGAGAUCGCGAGGGAUCGGGGUCAUAGAAGAGGCGGAGGAAUUGGCACCAUGGACAGCGGCGGAGAAGACGAUAAGGAGGAGGGAUAAGAAAUAGAGAGGUAGAAGAAGGAAGCCCAUUCGGGCGAAGAGAGAGAGGGACAGAGAGAGAGAGCUCUCGAUUCUUUUCCUCCCCUCUUUCCUCUUCUACUCCUUUUCUUCUUCUUGCCAGCUUUUUUUUUUUAUCCUUGUUGUUUUCCACCCUGCUUAUUUUUUUUGGUUUUAUCUUUUUGGGAUUUUUCCCGUCGUCAAUGACCGUUUGACCCGGAAGGCGGUGCGACGGUAAUUUUUGAGCGCGGCGCGAAGUUCGACGUAUGGUGCUGAAAAAUCGGGUUUAGUGUCCGAAAAUUUUAGGUUAUAUGCCGGGCCCACCAACCAGAACCAGGGAUGUGGGCGCUGACCCUGAUUCGUCGGAAAUGUCCGUGUUGUUUGGUGUUUGGUUUGCGUCUUACGAAUUCUGCCGCUUAUUACAGGGGUCAAACCAGGAUCUUAACGGGGCCGCUGACCUCCCAUAUAAAACCGCCUGAUAGUUUCUGCGAGCAUGUCGGCAGAAGAAAAAUCGGCCAUAUCCGAUGAGAGCUUCUUUGCUGGGUGCAUCGAAGUGAUCGGAUCUGGGCGAAUGUCUCGCCUCCAUGGGAUCUUUGCAUGGUUCCAAGAAACAGGAGCAGGAAAAUUUUGGCCACAGGUGGUCCAGGGUGCCUCCUCAUGAUGCUGCUGCUGCUCCUUCUUCUUCUUUAAUUAUUAUUAUUAUUAUUAUUAUUAUUAUUAUUAUUAUUUAAUAGUAAAAACGGUAAUGCAUAUAGUUCUAACGUGAGUACAUCCUGCCAAGUUUGAAGAAAGCAAAAAAUAUAAUGAGGGCGUGAGCUCUACUAUAGACGUCUAUAGGAGCUCUCCAGAAUGCCGUGCAACAUAGGAGGCGACCCAGUCUGUUACCCUGUUCGCCUUCCGAAAUACAUGCACUGCUUGAUACUCCUCCAGCUCUAUAACCAACCUGCGAGUCUCACGAAUAAGUGGAUGACCAUCUCCAUACCUGUUCGCACCUCGUAUCUAGUCGAUCACUAUGGAGGAGUCCCCCUCGAUAUAUACCCGUUCGGAACCAAGCACCUGUCUCGCAUAUGAUAUAUCUUCCCAGGCAGUCCGAACCUCUGCCCCGAUCACCGUGAGUCCAUGCGUGCGGUGCCCCUUGCUGCAACCAGUCUAUCGUAGUGGUCUCUGAUCACGAAUUCGACACCUCUGGACCUCCCGUUCACCACCACGGUGCCGUCGAAAUUGACCUUGAGAUGAUCAGGAGAUGGGGGUACCCAAGAAACAAGAACGAACUUGGGCGCUGUAACAACGAAGUGAGUACCCCAGAUAUCCUCGGCCAUCCCAAGAGAGAACAUAGCGGCACAUGAGACGAUUUUUCCGGCCUAAAACACUGCUCUGUCCACCACCAUCCUCAGAGAGGAUCUCCUGCCCUCAAACAAUGCUGCAUUCCUGUCCAACCAAAUAUGGUAGGCCAGGUAUGCUCUAAGGACCCCUGUCUCAACUGAGCUAGGACUCCACAUGGAAACUCUCAACAAAUGUAGCAGAUUUUGUACCGACUCCACCGACUAGGGGAGAGGAGCUGGGGACCUCCUCCAUAUCUCCGUGGCCCGGGUGUCUGGUGCUUUCGAUGGAAGACUUCGAAGGCGACAGAUGAAGCUCAGUUCGAUUACGUUGGGGUGUUUUCGACGGAAGCUGCUCUCUUAUUUAAGUUUCUUGAAAGAGACUUUCUUCUUGGCUUUGUGUAACGUGAGGUGCGAGCUGUUUCGAACUUGGAGAAAGACGUCCAUGUCUCGUCGCUCUCUGAAGGAUUGACACUCUUUGAUCUACCUUCGGAAGAAGUUAAGAAUCAAAUUUCAACCUAGUAGGGACUCAAUCCGAUGUGCCAUAGUAUAUGGAUUUGGCUCCCCAACUUGCUACUAGAACUCUUGGAGAAAGAAAAAAUUUAAAGAUUUUUUUAGUUGGUGGGACUCCACUGUUCCUAGAUGAAUUGGUGAAGUUUUCGGUUUGAAUGGGUUUCACUAGAGCGUGUGCUCAUCCAUCAGAUAUGGUAAUAAUGAUGAUGAUAAGUAUAAUAAUAAUAAAUAAUGAUAAUGAUGCCAAAAGUCAAUGCAUCAUGACACUCCAAACCUAAUUAACAUCAUGAUUUGAACUCAAAGCUUUCUGUGCUACAAAUAUAAUAAACUAGUUCUUGGCAUAUGUGGUAACUUAUCAACUUAUCAAAUCCCAAAUAGAUUGCUGAAUCCACAAAUCUUGCUGUAUUGCCCAAACAGAACAUGAGGCGAAUCUGUUUUUGACUUAAAGAAGCUAAGUUAAUCAUCCCAGAGUAGCAGGAAUUGGUUGGGAUGCAUUCCUCAGUAAGUUUCACAUGUCGGCUUCCAGUGCAUGUGGGCAGCUUCAACAUACAUGCAUAUUUGAUAAUAGAUAGAUACAAUAACAGGAAAUCAGACCAUGUCUGAAGCCUAACCACAUUACAUUAAUAGAACUAGGACCUUUGAUCACCUCGAGAACAAGGCCACACCAUGCAUGUGUCAUGGCAGAAAACACUUAUUUUGUAGGGUGAAGAUCCGCGUAAUCUGUAGGUCCAUAAGGAAGGAACAAGUCAGCCAAGAACCCCUUCUUCCUUCUUGGGUUGCAUCCCAUGUCUCGGCACAACUGAUCAUUGUACCAAAUGUGGAGAGUUCCGAUACUCGAUCGCCGGUAAUACUCACGAGAAUAUCGCCUCAUGACUUCUCCCAUUCUACCACAUUCUUUUCCAUUUCUCUUAUGCUAGGCAGUCGAAAACCGCCGUCGAGGAAAUGAAACAGCCACUUAGAUCUCAACUCCGAUGUAUGUAAGUUUGUAAAGCUCUCCGAGUAACCAACGAUUGCCAAUUGUGGAAUCCGGGGGUGGAUGCACUCCCUGUCAAAGUUAAAAUAACUUCCAUUAAACUUCGAUGCACUUAAAACAUGAGAUGAGGUCAAUGCAGCAACCAUCUUAAGCAAGGCAUUCCAUCACUCUAGGCUUUCUUUUUAACUAGCUAAAAUUAGGGCGAGCACCAUAUCAAAACUAAAUCACUAGUAUCGAAUACAGAGCAACUUUACCAACUCAACCACUAAGGUCGUCGAUUAUAGAGCACUACUAUUACUUUUGAUUUAACAUUUCACAUAAGAGUUAAAAUUUUAUAAAAUUGGAGACAUGAUAAAAUUGGAUCAAUAUGCUAGUCCACCAACUCAAGCUAAUUCAAGCUCAUGUUAAAUUUUGUAGCGCUCAAUAUUUAGAAGGAAAUAUACAAACCUAUAGAGAGGGACCGUCGUAGUUGAUGAACCGGCUACAAUCUUUUGAAAGAAAGGUGACGUAAAGAUGUCUCUAAGCUUCUGAUCAGCCUUGAAUCCAGUGGCAAAGAUCAGUAUAUCAGUCUCUAUAGGUGUUGCUUCACCUUCGAUGAUCACCCCAUUCUUACAGAAGCUAAAGGAUUUUGUUGGCUUUAGAACAAUGCUCCCUUCCUCCACUCUAUCAUAGAACUUGUCCGGCAGUAUUGCAACCAAACAAGAAACCAUUGCUUGGAAGAAACUAUGCUCCGGCACCAUGCCAUACUUCUUCAUAGGAAUUGCCCAUCUAUAGUAGCUCUCACAAAAUUUAGAGAACAGCCAUCUCUGAAAUCAGACAAGCAAACAUUAAUUGCUCAAGGACUGUGAAGGGAAAACUAACAUGAAAAAUUAAGAAGCAUAUUCCAAUUUCAUUACAAGAGGCGACAGCAGCAUGGCCAAUAAACAAAGCAGAAGUCCUUCACCAGGCUUGUGAACAAGGAGCUCCGAGAAUCGACUGAAAUAGAAGUAAGCUAUAGGGAUUCCCCAAACAGAGAAGCCAUCCAUAUUCCAACGCUUAGUCCUACAUAUCACAGUGCAUGGAUGCUCCACCCCUACAAGUAAAUAAAGCAGAGAUUCAAACAUUAUAAUCCCUAUAGGUUUUGCUGUGAGUGUGCUGAGGAGUGUAUCAUAUAGAAAACUCUGCAUCCUGUACCAUUUGCAUUCGCGCACUCUGCUAUAAUGUCCAAAGCCGACUUUAGGAAUCCUACCACCGUGACUCGUUUUCCUUUGACGAGUUCAGCGGCGCGAGCGCUGCCCAUAUUGGAGUAGUCCCUGGAGUGCAUCACCUUUCCAUCAAACGCUUCAGGACCCUUGCCUGCCGGAAAUGUGGGGAUAUUCGGUGUGCCGCUGAAUCGCCCAACGCAAAGGAUCAAAAAAUCCACCUGGUAUGUCUGGUAAUCAGGAACCGAUACAUUGAGUUAGAGGCCACGCUCAUGCAUUUGAUUUCAUAUUUGCACAAAUUAUCUAUUCAGAUCUAAAACUGGUUUCAUCUUCUCGGUGGCUGCGUUCGCUAUGAUGACCUUAAAGUUGCAAAUAAAGGCAUUAGUUCUGCAAGUACAAAUGACAUGAUAUGCACUAGACUGCUCUAAUUCAAUCACACGGGUAGGGCGCACAGCGAGCUGAAUUACUAGAAAGAAGACUAUACAAUGGCGAAGAAGCAAAAGUAUGCCCAGCCCAAAGAAUCUUUUCAGAAUGAUGGAGACGAUUCAAGGCCUCAUCUUUUAGAGUUAGCUGAUGCAUAGAUUAGGGACGAUUGAAUUGCACACUUGAAUUAUCAAAGAGGAUUAGAGGCUAUGUGCAACUUCUUGUGUUGCAUAAUAUGUUUUUUUAAUAACCUAAAAUGGACCUCUCCAAUUCAAACAUGGGUCGAGGUGCAUCUCUCAUCUUCCUAUGCAAAUUCACCGUUGGAUCAUCCAUCUGUGGAUAGCUUUGGAUGGAGUUUGGAGUGCUUUGAGAUCUGUAUAGUAGGUGAUCUAAUGGUGGAUUUGGGUGAAGGAAGGUGAAUCAUUUAUAAGCACGAAAGAUACAACCCCGACCCUCCAAAUACGAAGGGAAAACAACUACGGCAAGUCAGUUAGGUAUGCAUGUGAUGGCAUGUGAGAAUCCCAAAAAUGGGUUUGUCUCGCAGUUGGCAAUUCAAACUCAAAUUUGAAAGAAGAAAAAAAAGAAAGAAAAAAAAGGAAUCGAUCGGUGCAGUGGAAAACGCGUUCCUCUGCCCGAACUCCCGUAAUUGGGAUGAGGCCGGGGAGGCAUGGCUCCUCGGGGCCGGUACGGAGCUCGCGAUCGUCGGCUACGUAAGACCGUGCUGCAUGAACUCGUGCGGUCUCAGUUCAGUUCACGGGAGAAUUAAGAGGAAUCCUGUGCCUUACCUCUGUGGAACCAUCCUCCCCGUUCUGCACUGACACGUGCCACUCCCCCCUCCCGCCGCCGCCAAACGCCGUGCCGUCUCCGGCCCACAGCUCCCACGCCAUGAUCUCCUCCUCCUUUGCCCCGACGUACUCGACUUCCACCACCCGCGCCUUGAACUCGAUGUAUCUAAGGAGGUCGAAGUGGCUGGCGUACGAGCUCAGGUACUCCAUGAUCUGCCGGUGGUCCGGGGACUCCUCCGUCACGCUUGCGGGCCACGGGAAGUCCGUGAACUCGUAGAUCGGCCGCGGCGACUGGAGCUUCGUGGAGUCCAGCGUGCGCGCCCAUACUCCCCCCAUGCCGGCCUCGGCCUCGAAGACGGUCGGCAAGAAGCCUUUCUCCAACGCGUUCUUGCACGCCACCAGACCACUGAUGCCCGCCCCCACUAUGCCCACCCUCUUCUUCUCCAUCCUUCUCUCUCUCUCUCUCUUCUUGCGCAAUGGCUGAGAAUGAAUAUAUAAGAGGCCAGGGUCUGUCUUUCCACUCUAAUUUUCCAUUGAGGGUGUGCCUUUUUCUUCUUACUUUUGAGUGGGUCGGCGGGAUUUCGUGGCCCGUGACGCAUUAGACUCGGGCCUGCUGAGAAAUUAUUGGCUGCGGUGGAUCAGUCCAACCGUCGAGCAAUUAAGCUGAAGGGCUUAAUGAAUUUGUACACAAAUCUUAUGAUUAAGUUAUGAGUAGUUCAGAAAACCUUUAUGUGAUAUAACAUAAUAACAAAUGCAGAUUAUUAACCAUAAUAUUAUUUUUGCUAAUUUCCGGUAGUCUUGUCUCUCUUUUAUUUACUUUUAUCUAAAUGAAUUAUAAUUUUUUUGAAAAAUUAUAACUUUUAUUAGUUUAUUUUUUUUAUUUUUGAAGGAAAAAAAGGGAGGCAAAAUACUUUUUCUAAUUUAGUAAGUAUAAAAUUUAUGUACAAAAAUUAAGUGGAAGAGAAGAUAUAAGGAAUCAAGUCUUAUGCAUAAGUAGACCAGGCAAAAUUGUUUGACGACUUUCCCUCCAUUUCUUAUUUUUGGAACAUUUGAAAAUUUUUUGAAGGAUUGUAUAUUUUAAUGGAGCAUCUUUUUCCUGAAAGAAGACAAGCGUUUCUUUCCAACCAUAUGUGCCAACACAUCACGAUGAUUGCUUAGCCGUAUAAAAAUUAAGUAGAAGAAAAGAUAUAAAAAAUCAAGUCUUAUACAUAAGUGGAGCAAUGUAAGACACAAUUGUUUGUAUAUAUUAAUGGAGCAUCUUUUUUUUAAAAAAAAUAUGAGCAUUUUUUUCCAACCAUACGUGGUAAACAUAUCGUGAUGAUCUUUCUAUUGGUGACUUAUUCUUCCCACGCUACAAGGUACAAAGUUUAUGGAAACUUGCUGGCCGACCAUUUAGAUUGAGAUAUAGGUUCAAGAAGAAUCAAAUGCUUCUUGCCAUGGGACUUCUGAUAAAGAUGUGGCUUUUUCUGAAUUUUUGAUGAAUUCGCUAGCUUCUCUACCAUUGCAUCUGGCCUCAUGGCUCCGAAUGCACACCGCCAUUGGCCCCCUUGGCUGACAAGAGAUAAGUAGGUCCUCCAUUCUGCCAGCCAGCAUGUUACAUGUCUUUUUUUACAAGAGGAAGUUUUCCGGUUCCUUUUUUAUGGAAGACGUAGUAAGAGAUCUAUAGUUUUGCAGGAAAUAUUUGGGGUUACCGUAGCUUGGCUACGUGGGAAGCUUUAAUUAAUUGGCAUGGACUGAUAGUAUUUUGCUGAAUUCAUUAUUUUUUUAAAUUUGUUCUUGGAAUCAUUGAUUAAGAUAGAAGGAAAUAGUCCAUAAGAUAGAAGGAAAUAAUCAAGGGUGCAUCUUAAGCAUCACUACUUAUUUCCACGACUACAUUGGAGUUGAUAACAAAUCCUAUUUAAACAACUAAUAUGUUGCUCGGUGGAUAACAAGAAAACCUUGCACAGGAAAUUAGAUCUAAAGAUUUUCAUGGCAGACCAUACUGUAUUUUGUUUAGGGCCCUGUCUUCACUUGAGCAGCAACCCAACCUUUGAUGCUAGUUGAAUUGGAUUUAGAAAUUUUACCUAGUUACUAUGAAACGUAAUGCAUUAUGCUUGUCUGUAAAUAUUAUAUGGCGUCUCCACCUCGCCACCUUUAUGCGACCCAUCUACUUCAGUCCAUCUUAAUGAAGCUAAUCAUGUCUCCAUCCCAUUUGCGUAUACCAUCAGAUAAACAAGAUCUUUCGUUCCAAUUGACAAUGACCCUGUCCCCAUGCUUUAAUUUGUUGUCCCAAAGGUCUGGUCAUUGAUCUACAUGAUGCAAUCACAUAAUUGAAAAUUAUGCAUAUGUUUUUUUUUCUCUCUUAGAAAAAAACACUGACGUCCAUGCGUGUUGAAAGUUCUGUAAAUUCCAAAAAAAAUAGUAAUAUGUUAGAAAUAUGGCUAUAUGCAUGAUUUGAAAGGUGCUGUUUAAUUUUCUCCCUCUUCUUUUGUCCUCGUUCACUAUAUGGCAUAUAAUUAAUAGCAAUUAAAUAUUGGUUGUGUAGCGAAUUAAGCAACCAAUCAUAUAGAGUUGCCACUACGUACCAACCGGUAGGUGGAUAAGGCAAAGUGGGUGGUCUAGUUGAAAGAGUCGGUUUUAAAGUGAUUCCUUCCCCUAUCUUCAAGGUCAUAAGUUCUCUUUUGAGUCAUCUGCAGAUAAGAAUGAAUAGGAUAGAUUCAAAUGACAUGAUGGAUGGAAUGGUUAGAUGGUUGAGGUUAUAGGGACUGUACCUUUCAUGCAAAAAGAUUCAUCUUCCUUCACACAAAUUAUCUUUUGAUUAUCUACCACACAAAUCUCAAAGUAUUCCAAAAUCUGUCAUCCAUAUAAACAUGCAUGCGUGCAUGCGUACAUACAUACAUACAUACAUACGUGUGCGCGCGCAAGAAGCAAUGAUGGUGUAUCAUCACCAUAUAUAUAUAUUCUUUUUUCCAAGAAAAGAAAGAUGUUUACACUGAAUGAAAGGAUUCAGUGAGCUCUUCUUCAUUCCAUUCACACGUCUUGUUUUUUCUUGCAGCCAUCUAGAGAUAUCCAACAAAUAAAUCCUGGCUCGUAUGCUGGCUACCAUUGUCCCUCUGGCUGCUGCCGGUUGUCCGCAAAUCAGCAUGGAUGGAUGCGCUGGGUUCCUUUGGAUAAACUAAUUCGCAAUCAUGGAUAGUUUUUGGCUUGUUUAAUAACAAGAAUAUAUUCCUUAAAAAAAAGAUAGACAGAAAGAAAGAAAACAAAAGUGAAACACACUGAUAUUAAAAAGGAAAAUUCUUGUAGGAUCCAGGAAAAUAAGGCCUUCUGGACUCAGGCCAGUCACCAUAAUGACCCCGGGCCAACCCAUGGGAUUUCUUAAUAAUUCCUUGGAUCUUAUGAGUGCAAACAAUUUGGAUCCACCAUAGAUUUUGUAUACUAUCUCCUCAUAGUGAAAUAAGUUUACAUAAUCAAACAGUUAAUACUUCACACGGAAUGGGAUAGAGAGAGUAAGCAAAGUACUGCUAAUCUUACAAUAGAAAACACUCUCAUUUGGCUUCGAAUUGAAGAUUAGCAUAGUCUGAAGGACCAUAAGGAAGGAACCAAUUUGCCAGGAACCCCUUCUUCCUCUUUGGAUUGCAUCCCAUGUCUCGGCACAGCUGAUCAUUGUACCAAAUGUGCAGAAAUCCGAUGCACGACCUCCGGAAUUUAUCCCGAGAGUAUCUCUUCAUGAACUUCUCCCAUUCCUUCACAUUCUCUUCCAUCGAUCCUAUGCUCGGCAGUCGGAAACCACCAUCAAGGAAAUGUAUCAGCCAUUUGGAACACAACUCCGAUGUAUAUAGAUUUGCCAAACUCUCCGAGUACCCGAGAAUAGCCAAUUGCGGAAUCCGAGGAUGAAUGCAUUCCCUAUCAAAUUAAUAACCUUCAUCAGUUUUUACUUCAACAAAAAUAGAAAAAAAAAAAACUUUUAGACUAGAAAAAUAAUCAAAAUUAGAUGCACUCCAAACGUCUAGGCCAUGUCCAUGAAAAAUAAAAAUGGGGAUGCUUAUGCAGAAACUAUGUUUUUUUCUUCUUCUUUCUUUUUUUUCCACAAAAGAAAAGAGAACAUGGAGGUCAUUCACCAUGAAGCUUAAUUUGAAUAUGAGACCUCUCACUCGCUGAGCUAGCAGCUGUAUUAGUUUUAUGCAACACAAUUUCAAAAAGAAAAAGCUUCAUCAAAAAGCAUAAUUAAUAUAUCUAAGUAUCUGAUAUUUUGAAAGAAAUAUAUAUAUGAACCUGUAGAGAGGGACCGUCGUAGUCGAUGAACCCGCUGCAAUCGUUUGAAAGGAAGGCGAUACAAAGAUGUCCCUAAGCUUUUGGUCACCCUUGUAUCCAGUCGCAAAGAUUACAACAUCAGCCUCUAUAGGUUCGGUUGCACCAUCAAUGAUCACCCCAUCCUUACAGAAACUGAAGGUUUUGGAUUUCUUUAGAACAAUGCUCCCUUCUUCCACUUUAUCAUAAAACUUUUUUGGCAGCAGUGCAGUCAUACAAGAAAGUAUGUCAUGAAAGAAGCUCAUGUCUGGUACCAUGUCAUAUUUUUUCAUAGGAAUUGCCCAUUUAUAGUAGCUCUCAGCAAACUUAGAUAUAAGCCAUGUCUGAAGUUACAUAAAAAGAGGCUAAUUAGUUGGAGACUGGAGACACAGAACUGGAGAUUAGGAAGAACUAAACAGGACAUGUCAGUAAAUGAAAUAUUCUUACUAGUGGUGACAAAAGAGUAGCCAAAACGCCAAGUAGGAUUCCUUCUCCAGGUUUGUGAAGAAGAAGCUCCGAGAAGCGAGUAAGAUAGAAGAAAGCAAGAGGAACUCCCCAAGCAUAGUAGUCGUCUAGAUGCCAGUGCUUAGUCCUGCAUACCAUAUUGCAUGGGUUCUUCGCCCCUACGAGUAAAAGUAAUCUUAGUAUCAAACCAAAAAAUCAUGUUAUCUUGCUUUCAGUUUGUUAGAAAUAUUAUUGGUAAGUUCGUUGAAGAGAAAAGGAGGAGUGACCAUCCGAUCGAGCUAAAUUACAGUGAUAAAACUUCAGGUCCAAGUACUUAGAGAUGCGCCACUCCUCCAACCUCCUCCGGAAAGAGGAGGGGGGUGUGAACACUAAAAUUUUAGGAGCCCUUUGGUGACCCAAAAGGGAUCACUAAAAUGAUCUUAGACCAGUUGUGAUUCUUAUUCUGAAAUAAUUUGAUCCCUGAUGAUCUAAGAUCAUCAUAUUUGGUGCGCUAUAUUCAAGUUAUUAGAGAUCCCAUGUAUUUACGAGUAACCUGUUUGGUAUUUCAUAGAAAUCCAAGAUCAUUGAUCAUAUAAUACCAAAAUUAUCCAUGAUAUAUUCCAUAAAAAUAUAUUUAUUAAUCAUGUAAAAUAAAUUAUAAUGAUCUAUUAAUAAAUUUAUUAAUAUAUUAAUUUAUUUUUACUUAUACUUAUAAUAGAUUAUUACUUUAAUACUAAUAUUUAGUUUGAUUAGAAAAAUAAGGCAAAUAAAAGUAAUAUAAUAAUAUAUUUGUAUUAUAAUUUAAAAAAAUUGAACAAUGAUAUGAUAAUCUUAUGAUUAACGAUAUAUUAUAAUAUAAUAUAUAUCAUAAAUACUAUAUAUGUAAUAUCAAUAUAAUAUUAAUGUAUACAAUAUUGAUAUAAUAUAUUAAUGACAUAUUGAUAUUUUCAAUUUUUCCACUGGACUAAGAGGUACCCUAAAUUUCAACCCAAUAUCAUUGUCGUAGGGUGAUCUUAGAUAUCCAUUCUCAAGAAUAGGUUUUCCAUCAUUGAGUUAGGUGGUAGUUUGAGGAUCGAGGGUGAUUUGGGAUCACUCCCAUACAGAAUCACCAUGGUGCAAUCAAAUGCGGUGGUGAUCUCAUCAUCUCCAACCAUAUUAUUCUUGAUCUUGAGAUCAUCAUGCCAUAACAAAUGCUCUCUUAAAACUUAAAAUUCAAGAUCCUUACCAUUUACAUUUGCACACUCCAUAGCGAUGUCCAAUGCUGAUUUGUGGAAUCCCACUAUUGUGACCUUUUUACCUUUGAUUAAUUCGGUGGCUCUAGUGCCACCCAUCAUAGAAUAGUCCAUGGAGUGGAUCACCUGGCCUUUAAAUACUUCCGGCCCCUUAUUUAUUGGAACUGUGGGGAUAUUUGGGAUGCCGCUAAAUCGUCCAACGCAGAGGAUCACAAAGUCCACAUGAUAUACCUGGCAUUGAGUGAAAAAACCGUAAUGAUAUAUAUAAAGCCAAUGAGAGAGAGGUGCUAUUGAUUCAAUUGCUACCUAAGUAAAAUAAAUCCCCCAUCAACGAAAGCACACAUUUAAUUCAUUCCUAGGGCAAGAUGUAUCAUAUAUCAUGAUGCAACCUUGCUCCUUUUUUUUUCCCUUUCUUUUAGGAUUAAGAGGAGUUGUUCUCCACCCUAUGCCAUCUCCCCUCUCCCCCCUCCUUUGCAUGGCAUGCAUGAUUGUUGACCACUCCUCGUAAAUCCGGCCCUCUUCUCUUCCUUUUUCUAUCUUUUUGGUGUGAUUGUUGGUCCCUUUUAAGGGAUCUGGCCCUUAUCUUCCUCUCUCUUCCUCCUUCUCUAUUGACCCCCUGAGACCAAACCGCCGCCUCUUUUUUUUCUUCUCUCUCUCUCCUCUUUUUCUCUAUCACCGUUAGCAAGCCAUCGUGCUCUAUCGCAGUGGCUUGAUUGAUCGAGCCUUAAUAUUCAAGCUUAAACUCAAUUUGAUCAAAAAAAAUAAUACUUGAGAUCGACUCAACUCGACUCGAGUAUCCAUUGAGCCAUACUCGAGCUCGAAUUCGAGCCUUGAUCAAUAUAAUUAAAAUAUAAUAUAAUAUAAUAUUUCAAUAUAUUAAAUUAAUAAUAUAUUGUUAAUAAUAUAUAGUAUUAUUGAGAAAAAAAAUAUACUCGAAUGGGCUCGUAAGCUUUUAAGCCGAAUAUUUUGCUACUGGAGCUCAACUCGAAAAAUUGUUCAGGCUACUCGGUUCGGUAACAAAUGAGUUUGGAUCCGAGUCGAGCUCGAGCAACUUGCAAGCUACUUGGCUCAUUUGCAUCUCUAGUUAAUAUUCUUUACAAUGCGCAUUUUCCAAGAUAGAGUAUUGCACAGCCUUCAAUAACAGCCCUCUCAUCGAUCAUGGAAUUAAUGGACGGUUAUCAAAAGCGAUGAUCAUGAUCGUGGGUGGCAAGCAAUGCUAUGCUCUAUUUGAUAGUCAUCCAUCUCCAUUAUUGGAUGAUGCGGUGGUCUUUGAGGGCCACCCAGCUCUUGGGGGGUGCAAGCAAAAUGAGCACCCGAGCCCUUGGGUGAUAUCAUGAUUCAUGCAUGAUGCUACUUUGGAGUAUCAAAUAACCCAGUAAAUCCAUGUGUAGAUGUGGUUGGUCUUACCUCCGUGCUCCCAUCUGCCUCUCCAUGCUCCACUGCGAUGUGCCACUUUCCGCUGCCGCUGCCACCGAAAGCCUCGCCGUUCCCGGCCCAUAAGUCCCAGGCCAUGAUCUCCUCCUCGGACACCCCCACGUACUCAAUCCCUACCACCUUUGCAUUAAAUCUGAUGUGCCUUAGAAGGUCAAAGUGGAGAGCAUACGAGCGAAGAUACUCCUUCACCUUGGUGUUGUGCGGGUACACCUCCGUGACGUUCUCCGGCCACGGGAAGUCGGAGAACUCGUAUGUUGGCCGAGGUGACUGAAGCCUCGUGGACUCCAGGGUGUGCAGCCACACGCCACCAAUAUCGGUGUCAGCCUCGAACACCAUGGGGUUGAAGCCCUUCUCCAGUGCAUGCUUGCAUGCCACCAGCCCACUGAUGCCCGCCCCAAUGAUGCCCACCCUCUUCUUCUCCAUUCCUCUUCUCCUCUCUGAGAAGAUGGGGAUGAUAACAGGGGAGGAAAAUAAAAAUAAUAGGCUUUUCAAACUCUAUUUAUACAUGCGUCAUGCUCAUUUUCAUCAAAAUAGUUUGGAGGAUUCAAAAUACCAUGCAAAAUUUUUUGUUUAGACCAAAUUUACUAACUAUUAAAUACCAUGCCAUUUAUGAAGACUAAUAUAUAGUGCUCCUAAAUGAUAAAUGUGAGAUACUCAUUUUCACCAAAAUAGUUUGGAGGAUUCAAAGUCUUUCUAUAAAUAUGAGAAAGAAACCAUACAGAAUGACAAAGACUUACAAUGAAUUUUUGUGCCAUGAAUUCAUGCUAUAUGUGUAAAAAUUUAUUUAGAGUGUAACAAAAUAUCAUGCAAGAUUUUUCAUUGGACCAAAUUUAGUAACAAUGAAAUACGAUGCCGUUUAUGAAGACUAAUAUAUAUAAUCUAGUGCUCCUAAAUGAUAAAUGCGUGAUGCUCAUUUUCACCAAAAUAGUUUGGAGGGUUCAAAGUCUUUGUAUAAAUAUGGGGAAGGAACCAUAAAGAAUGAUAAAGACUUAUGAUCAAUUUUUGUGCUAUGAAUUCAUAUCACGCAAGAUUUUUCAUUCGACCAAAUAUAGUAACUAUUAAAUACCAUGCCAUUUAUAAAGACUAAUAUAGCAAAUAUUUCAGGUUUAAGAGAUGUCUAAACUAUCCCCUCUAAUUUGAUCACUGAAAAUAUCUUAAAUAUAAAUUUCUUCAUUUAUAAACUCUCAAAUUUAUAUUAAUUAGAAUGAAUUAUGAGUUAUGUUUCUAUCAUUACUCUUAUUUUAUAAUUGAUUUCUCUUACUAACUCAUUUGCCUUUUGAUUAGCAUGAAUAAUGUGUUAUCUGUAUCAUUAAUUUUUUAUUAUAUAAUUUAAAAUGACCAUCAUAUUUUUUCUUAAUUCAUGUUCACGAUCAAGUCAACUGUACAUUCCUUUAAUAUCUCCUUAUAAUUUAAAUCUUUUAUCUCAUUAAUACACUAAUUUAUAUUAAAUUUAUUUAUAAAUGCAAUAAUUACUCCAUUAAACUUUGAUUUAAUUCAUAUUUUUUGAAAAAAAUACAGUCAUCCAUUCAAAGAAGAAAACAAAGAGGUUGUUUCUCUCGUUAAACUUAAUCAACAUCUUCCUCUCUCUAUAACUUUUUUACCCAAGCCAUAAAACCCUUAUCAGAACUGUGCUUCUCUCCCCCUCAGGCCUCACCAUUUCCAUGUGUCCAUCUCUCUUACUCUUAACCGCUUCUCAUUGAAGCUCUUGUUCAGGGCCACAAUCAGGCUUUUUGAAUCCCAUGAUGAUAAAUUCGUUUCCCCCUUCUGUUCUACUUGCUUCUCUCCUUAGAAGCUCCAUUGAUCCAAUAGAUUAUAAGCUUGGGCACAUCCUUGGUUAGAGACAAAGCUAUAGGCAUAAAUCAUGAGAAUUGAAGAGCCAUAUCAUUAAGAAUGGAUACCUCUUUGAUCCCACAAAGCGACCUACGUCCAUAUCUUCUUCCGAGGAGAACCUAUGUUCUCAUGAACUUAAGGUUGUAGAGAAUUUCUUUUUAAUAGCAAUAAAAACUUUGACUUGUACAAAUUUUUCAUGGAUGAUUUACACUUACGUUUCUCUCUAUUUGGUGUUUUAAGGGUGAUGGACAUAAUAUAUAUUAGUUUAUUGAUAUUUAAUAUUUACAUUGAAUAUAAUCCUUGAACUUUUAUUCCUUUUUUUUAUUGAUUAUGUGUUGUUAAAUAAAUUUGAUCUUGAAGGCCUUUUGUAUUAUUAUGUCUAGGUACAAAGGAAGCAAUCAUGGAUCCAACUGCACCUAUCAUCCCUACAACUGCAAAUGAUGAGGGUUGCCUUAUUAAGAGACCUCAAGUCUUGGGUUUAUAUACAUAUGGAAGUAUGGUAUAUCUAUAGUAGUUCUAUCAGUGAUUAGUGCGAUGUGUGUACACUAAUCCUUAUCACAUAAGGAGACUUGCCUUAAAGCAGAUGGUUUGGGUUUAGCAUGUUGUUGAGUUUAUUGCGCAAGAGUAGUAGUUUUGUCUUGUUUCAGCGCUAGAGGUAUGCAUGCCAUGCCGAUCUCGGUGCAUAAGUUUCAGAGAUUUCCGACUUCACUUGCAGUGUAGAAGCCAUCUUGUUCAUGUCUCUUCCCAGCUUGGUUGGAUAGUUGGCAAGCUAUUCAGGCAUGAACUAGCAAACCCAGCUGUAGGGGGAGUCGAAAGAAUCAAAGGGCAGGGUCAGUCUCUCUUGGGUGGCCUUGUUCCUCUUAUUUCCCUUCUUCUUCUCUUUCUAUUUUUUUUCUCUCCAUCUCUCUCCUUUUGCUUCCUUCUUCCCUUAAGAUCAUCCACUCUUCUCCUUGUAACCACUUUAUAAUCUUGAUAAAUUGGUGGUGCUUGCGCAGCACUUUUCAGAAAAAUAAUAGUCGAUUAUUACUAGGGUAAGCAAGAGUUUUGUUGGAACAAAGACUCAUAUUCAACCUAUUUUCUACCUCAUAUAUUUGCAUCUAGAAUUCGAAUAAUUUGCCAAACAUUCUUUUCCUGAUAAAGAGUUGUCCCAAACCGAACACCAAGUAGUGCAUCAUGAGGCCAUUGUCAUUGCCUCAGCCUCUUAUUGCCAUGGCACGACAGCAACUUCUCCCUCUACAAAGCUGCUAUGUCCACAUUAGCGAACCGAGGAGUAAUGGAAGGGAUUGAUAUCUUGAUGUCGAUUCAGCUAAUGAGAAAGCACAUUAUUUAAAGCUAACGAUCUCAUCUCGAAUAUUAUGUAAAACUUGACUUGUAAACGAUCAGGGCUUGCAUGUUUGAAAUUUGGCUUGGCUCAGUAACAAGCUUGUUCAAGCUAGGUUCAGCUGACGAAACUAGGUUAAUCUUGAACAUAUGCUAUCAAGCUUGGCUUGCACUCAGGUUUCUGUUUCACACAAGAAGCACUUUGGGUGGCCUCAAUUGAGUUUAAGGUGUUAUGAAGCCCUGCACAUAGCACUAAACCUUAGUCUAAGUUUAACCCAUCUGGAAUACAUGCUAGUGCAAAUCUAGGCCACGUAUUUCUGAUAUUAAAGAUUAAAUGCUAACUUGGACCACUAGAGAAUCAUCGAAUUAAUUCUAGACACGCGAAUGUAGGUAACCAUAUAGGUGGUUGUAAGUUCGCAGUCGAGGGUAAUUAAAUUUGAGAGGCCCUAGAAAUCAAGUACUUCAUGUUCAAGAAUACAAAUUCACACAAAAGAUUAGAUGCAAUAUCAUUUUUCAAGCUAGGGUACACAUAGGUUUUCUCAAAUUUUAUACUCGGUGCUAUUAUAGUAGCAACCAUGGUGGCCAACAAAUGCAACCUAAAAAGAGUGAGCUAUGACUUUUCUUAAACCAUUUAGAAUUGAACCUCCAACCCCUUGCUCAAAGGAUGAGAGAUAAUACCAUUUAAGCAAGCGCUUGGUGGUGGUUCGGUGCUUCAUUUUUAAAACUUAAGUCUGCACCAUGUGUAAUAGAUCCAAGGGAUUGCAUUUGAUGAAUGCAAUUCAAUUAAUAUUAGGUGUUGCCUGCAAAAGCAAGUUGCUAUGUAUAUACCAAUUACCCGGGCAAACAUCUCAGAGGGAUAUUCAGACGGAAAGACUCAGAAAAGUUGCCGAUGACCGAUUCCGUCAUUGAUGCGAAGCCUGGCCUGGUCGGGAAGAGAUUCUAAAUAAAGAAUAUGCGCACCGAGAAUAGAUAUCAAUUUAUUACUAAAAUAUUAUGUACCAUAAGAGAGUUCACAUUUCUUGCUAGUACCUGUAAAGAUGCACUUUCCCAGUUCCGGAUGAUUUGCUGCUGGUAUAGUGAGAACCUUAUGAACUUACAUGCCACUUAUUUGAUCAGUAGCCAUCAUAGCCAACUUGCUGAGAUUACCUCAAAGCUUGCUAGUACCCUUAUUGAAGAGGCUUCCCAUGGCCUUUGCCUUCUCCCUAAGGACAAACUUUUGCGUCUUCCCGGUCGAAGUCUUUGGAAGAUCCUCAAAAACAACAGUGCGAGGUGCCAUAUAGUGUGGCAGCCGGGCACGACAAAAUCUAAUAAUCUCUUCAGCACCAGCAUGAGUACCCUCCCUCAACUUCACAAAAGCACAGGGUGUCUCACCCCAAUAAUCAUCUGGUUGUCCAACUACUGCAGCCUCGAGCACGGCUGGAUGACUAAACAGCACAGACUCUACCUCUAUAGUGCUUAUAUUUUCCCCACCUGAAAUUAUAAUAUCUUUCGAUCGGUCCUUGAGCUUUACAUAUCCAUCAGCAUGCCUCACUGCAAGGUCUCCGGAUCGAAACCAUCCUCCAGACAAAGCUUCAUUGGUUGCAUUCAAAUCUUUGUAGUAUCCAUUCAUGACUGUGUUGCCUCUGAACAUUACCUCCCCCAUGGUUUUCCCAUCAGCUGGAACACUUUUCAAAGUAACUGGAUCUUUAACAUCUAACUCCUCGAUUCCAAGAUGUUGAAGUCCCUGGCGGGAUUUGAGUCUUGCACGCUCCUCGGCAGGGAGGGAGUCCCACUCAGGCUUCCAUGUGCAAACUGUCCCUGGACCAUAAGUUUCUGUGAGGCCAUAGGAGUGGAUGACAUGGAAACCAAGUUCUUCCAUCUUAUAUAGAACCUGGGGAGGUGGUGGUGCAGCACCAGUCAUCACAGUCACUCUUCCAGGCAAUGGUUUCUGCUCGGUCAUUGGAGCAUUCACAAUCAUGUUAAGAACUGUGGGUGCACCACCCAUGUGGGUGAUCUUGUGCAGGGCAAUGUUUUCAAAAAUAACCUUUGCAGAGACAUUUCUAAUGCAGAUGUUUGUCCCACCUUGAGCUGCUAUACCCCAAGUUAGGCACCACCCAUUACAAUGGAACAUGGGCACAGUCCACAGAUACACCGGCAUUGUGGUCAUGUCAUUGAAGAGGACUGUCGCAAUGGCAUUUAGGUAGGCUCCCCGGUGACUGUAGAUAACACCUUUGGGUCUGGAUGUGGUGCCAGAUGUAUAGUUUAGUGAGAUAGGGUCACGUUCAUCAACAGGCCAUUUGAUCUCAAACCGAGGAGGUGAAGUCUUCAGAAGAAUUUCAUAUUCCUCAUCCACCGAAGCAGCGAAAUUUGGAACUGCAGGAGAUGAUCCACCGGAUUCUGUGAUUAUAACCAGAAGGGGAGGUUUCACUCUGGCUUGGGAGAGAAGUUUGAGUGCUCCUUGGGCGACUUCAAGUAACUGAUAGUCCACGAAGACAAUUUUAGCCUCAGAGUGCUUCAGAAGGACUGAUAGCAUGGCUGAGUCAUGACGUGUGUUGAGUGUACAGAGGAUUGCACCAGUCAUUGGCACACCGAAAUGUAGUUCAUACAUUGCUGGAAUGUUUGGAGCAAGUACAGCUACCUGAUUCAAAAAACAGCAGUUGGUUACAGCAAUGACGAACCACAUGCAAAUGUAACCAAAAAAAAUCUGCAAGAAAAAUCAUAUGUUGAUGCAGAAUGUAAAUUCAGAAGAAAAAUCAUAUAUUUCUCAAGGCUAGUACUUCUUCAAAGAAAUAUAGGAGAAAGCAACCCACUCCCCUUAGAAAUGUUGAACCAUUCCAAUUAGAUAUACAAAAUAUUGAUUGGGUUGUAUCCACAUUAAUAAUAUGAGAAUAAACUGCAGAAAAGAGGAAAGAAAAGAGUUAAGGAAGAAAAAAUCAUAUUGAUCUAAGGGUGCAAUUUCUAGUCUAACACAACGCUUCUGUUCUGUUUGAUUUGAUUGAGAUGCAAUGUUCAUAAUCACAUGAUCAGUUGGAAAGUGCACAGAUUGAAAACAAAACAAUUGUUAUGCAGCUGAUCAAGGUCCGAAAUCUCAGUAUUGAGUACCAUACCAGUACACUACUGGUUCAGUAUGAUAUGGUAUGCAUGUCGUACCAAGCCUCUUUUUUCUCACUUUUCAUCAUAGUACCACAUGAAACCAAAUGGUACAGGUCAGUACAAGUAGGUACAGUAUGGUACACAUCCCGAAUUGGAGUGGUAUUGGAUGGUAAAGGUUGGUAUUUGGUCUACACCAAACCGAUUGAUGUUUUCAUACCAGUUUUGACAUGGAAUGGUAUGGUAUGCCUGAACUGGACCGUUUGGGGUGGUACGGCAAAUAUUACGGCUGAUAGCUUAUACUAUUCAUUAGGUACACAGACUGAUAAAUAUCUCUGCAUACUAAGCAUAACUAUUAGUUUUCUUAAAAAAUGUAUUCAAGUGCACAACAACACAAAAAAUAGAAAAAAACCUGUAUUCAAGGAAAUGACUAGAAGAAAAGCAAAUGGAUCCAACUUCAUAGGUUCCUUUUCUAUGACUUGAAAGUCUUUUAUUGCAUAGAAAAUGAUCACAAUCUUCCUUUAUACCAUGUAAAUCAAUGUAACUAUCAAUACACUAUAACUGUGUUAGCAAAAGAAGCAAGUUAUAUAAGAGGAUUAAACAUAAAGAUGGACAAGGUAAAGCAGCUAACAGGUUAACCAGAUUUUCUUCUUUUGUUUGGUUGCAGCUCAUGUAACCUAGGAUGUUAUUAAUGAUAAUACUCAGUUACUUUUUUGUUAAAAAGACAUGACACUCAAUUAUAUCAUGUUUGAUGGUUGCAUGCGUUUUCUGGGGUUCAAGCUGAAAAGCAGGAAUCUGUAUAGAUCAGGCUAUUACAGGAAUCAGAAUUUAGAUUGUUCAUUGGUCAUCUACCUUGUUAUAAUCCAUAAACAGUCGAAAAUACAUUAAAUCCAAACAUCUCCUUAUUUAAUUUGACUGGUGUUGCGAUGAUGAGACACCAGAAUAUGAGUUCUCCAAGUUACAUGGAUGGAGAGGUUGGAUCAGUGACUAUAUAAUCCAUUACACAGUCAUCGAUAUAUUAAAUCCAACCACGUCCAUGCCACCUUUAUUUCUCUUUCUUAGAGUGUCAUGAAAGACCAUGAAGUGAAAAGUUUUUGAAGAGAAGCAAAUUCUUCCCCAUGUCCCUCAACAGUUUUUCCCAAUAUCUAGUAGAAGAUAUACAAGUUAGGAUACAUGACUAAGGGAUUGGGAUACAAAAUGCAAAUGCAUCUCUUUCUUAACCAUUCUCAAGCUCCAAUAUUCACAUCCUAAAGGUUGACUUUUUUUCAUCAGUUUCGUAGUGAGGAUCUGUACAGGCUGCCUCCAUUAUUUUUCAUUGAUCUGGGAUAUAUAUAUUUUUUCCAUUGAUAUGGGGUAUCAAAAGACAUCAAUAUUCAAAUUAGUAUUCAAGAGAACCCAUAAAUACCAUUUGCCCUGCUGGGAUUGGAGGAUAGAAGAGAGCAUCUCUAGUUAGAUAUUGCUGAAAAGACCCUGUUCGUAAUCCAUAAAUUAAAUUUUAUAUUUAUAAGUCUUUUCUACUUUACAGAGUAGAGGAAUCUGCACAAAAUUCUCUUCAGGUUGAUGAAAAGUGAUAUAGUUUAGUUGUGAAUCUAAAGCUUUGGUUACUAUUAGUUUGAACAAUUAUUAAGAUUUUUAUGAUUACAAUCAUCACCAUGACUUUUUUUAAUCUAUGAGAGUCAAGUCACUUGGCAUGUAUAGAAGGUGCAACAACAUCCUGUAAAUUUGACCAAUUAUAUGACCGUUUAAAUUUUGCUUGCCCCUUCUUCUUCUCUUAUUUCCUAGUUUUCAUCUUUCAAAUUACAGCCAAUCAGAACUUUUGCUUGCAAGUCCCUGAUCUAAUCUGUCAGAAUUACCAAACCAGAGUGGCAUAAAAACAAAACUAUAAAGUUUGAAUCUCUAUGUUUUCUACACUUGGCAAUUAAAAUAAGAAACUGAAGUAAAGAUGAAUAAUAGGAGACUAGUGCUGGCUCCUCAACGCCUAUCACAAUGCCUGUGGAUCAGUGGGAAAGCCCUAGUGCAAUACAUGAGGACAAUGCACCUCCUCAAACAACCCAAUUUUCCUACAUGAGGGCCAGAA
rnacentral:lncRNA from 1 species